CUAAGUUGUUAACGGAUAUGAUAUGGGAAGGUUGAGCUGCUGUUUAUCUGUUCUUAGAGAUGCUAGAAUUCUGGAGAAUUUUAUCUUUGAAAAUCUUUAAAAUAUUGCAUGAUGAGUUCCUGUAUGAUGAGAGUUUUAAAUUCCUACCACAGCCAUAUAUACAUGUUUGCUAGACUUUGAGCCACACAUUUACUAUUUACUGCUUAUGAGCAUUGAGUGUGGUCAAGCUGUGUAGACCCUUAGGAGCUUGUCAUGUGGUUAAAUCAAGAUUCACUUGCACGUUCACUCAUAUAUGCUACUUCUACUCCGGAAGUACCAUCCAAAUAUAUCCAUCCAUUUCCAUCUCCAGAAUCACCCAAAAAUAUUCUACUCCAAAUCCGGGAGAGAAUGACCAAAAAUAUGUGUGUUUUGCCUUAUGAAAUAAAUGCUCAAGUUAUCUUGUUACUACCACUUGCUAUAUUAUCUCAAGAGAUGAGUGCUCUAAAAAAAAUAAAUACGAGGAAAUAAAAAGGGGCAAGUGCCCGGAACCUCGAAAGAAAAGAAAAAGUAAGACGAGAGGUAAAAAUGGACAAGUGUCCGACAGUAGAAUUAGGGGUACAAGAUACCCAUCCGAGAGAAAAGAAAAAGAAGAGCAUCUGAUUCUCCUCAUAAAAUUUCAAAAAGCAAGGAAGGUAUGUAUCCCCUCAAAAGAGCAAAAGUAGAAUUAGACUUUCACCAUUGUUAUCAUCAUCAUCAUCAUACAACAUUCAUUCGCCACACAUGCACAUCUUGAUUUGACUUAUUGAUUUGUUUCUUUGGAUCCAUGGUUUGACUAUACAAUAAAUGUCUUGUAAGUAUGUAUAUUUUAUCUCCCACCUAUGAGCUCCAGAUAUUAAAGCCUUAUUAGAGUAGGGUGAGAGAGAAGGCAAUGUCAUUAUGCUUUAUACCACAAAUACUACAUAUCUUGAGAGAAGGCAUAUACCAUCACUGCCUUGGUAAGGAUCCAGAAAUACCAAAAAAGAGAGAUAUGAGAGAAUCAUACAAGGAAUCUCUGAGUUUUAUUUGAAAAUCUGCAAAAACACC
rnacentral:lncRNA from 1 species